rnacentral:rRNA from 1 species
CUUGGCAGCAGGCCUAACACAUGCAAGUCGAACGGUAGCACAGAGAGCUUGCUCUCGGGUGACGAGUGGCGGACGGGUGAGUAAUGUCUGGGAAACUGCCCGAUGGAGGGGGAUAACUACUGGAAACGGUAGCUAAUACCGCAUAAUGUCGCAAGACCAAAGAGGGGGACCUUCGGGCCUCUUGCCAUCGGAUGUGCCCAGAUGGGAUUAGCUUGUUGGUGAGGUAAUGGCUCACCAAGGCGACGAUCCCUAGCUGGUCUGAGAGGAUGACCAGCCACACUGGAACUGAGACACGGUCCAGACUCCUACGGGAGGCAGCAGUGGGGAAUAUUGCACAAUGGGCGCAAGCCUGAUGCAGCCAUGCCGCGUGUGUGAAGAAGGCCUUCGGGU